CCAGCGUGGAUACCCCAGGAGGUCACUCUUCUGGGCUCUGUUCAGGUGGCCUAAAGGAGCAUAGGGCUCUGCCUGGGAAUGUACAGUUCCAUUCCGUGACUUUGGAAAUGAAGUCAGGCCUCAAGCCUGCACCUGCGUAUUCCUACAGCUCCUCAGAGUCUUGUGGACAACUAUGGAGGAGACAAACUAUGCAGGACACACCU
rnacentral:snoRNA from 1 species